GCCCGCAUGGCUCAGUGGUAGAGCGUGUCACUAGUACUUCGCAAUGACAAGGUCGUCAGUUCGAUUCUGGCUGUGGGCA